rnacentral:lncRNA from 1 species
AUGGAAUCCUGCCUUGCCCCUUACUGGCUUCUGAUGGUGGCCAUUGAUCUUCGGCAUUCCUUUGCUUUUGCAGCUGCAGCACUUCCUCUCUACCUCAGUUGUCACAUGGUAUUCUUCCUCCUGAAUGUCUCAGAUUGAUUUCAAACAAAUGCAGCAACAAAUCAAGGUGUUCUUCCUUGGGAAGUGAUGGGUGUUUUGCCUACUGUCAAUCUCUGGAAUCAUUCUGGCUACUAUGUGGACAAAAACUGUAGCAGGUAAAGAACAGGAGCCAAGAAGCCAGUAUGGAGCCAAAGAGCAGGCCAAGUGAGGGAUGAUGACUCACUCACUGGCUAGCUGAGUGGUUCUUGGCCUUGAGGAUUUAUUGGCACCCAUUUCAUUUGUCUUUCUCUGGAUUUAACAUUGAGGUGAUGAGAUGGAAUAUUACCUGUAUGCUUCGGAACAUCUAUGAGUGACAUGUAAUAGUUGCCUGGGAAACUAGAGAUGAAAUUCUACAGGUCUUUGAAAUGCUUUACAUUUGAGAAUGAAGCUCAGCUGAAGUUUGAACAGCAUACUGACAUAUACCAACAAGAAUGAAAAUAACUUAACAGCAAUUUUAUAAAUUCACAUCCCCCAGAGCACCACAGAGUAAAGAAAUACUGCAUAUGGGUAACAACUGGUUCUUAGUUACUAAAUCUGAAAGAUCAAAUACAGUUAAUUACAUAAGCUUCUCUUGAGUUUUUCUGGGGGAAUAUACCAGGAGACCAUAAUCAAGCAUCACCAGUGGCAUUUCAUACUGGUCCCAUGGUGUUAAUCCAGGUUUCUGGUAUUGCACUAAACACGAUGAAAAACAGGAGAGAACGGAGAGGGAUCAUGUUUUACCACAAUAUGCAAUUUAUGGGAGAGAUGAAGCGCUCAGGUGGAGAUGACUAGUGUCACGUGGUGUUUUAAGUGGAUACUCACAACGCUGGAACUCACAGCAAUAACAACAAGAGGUGAGAUUAAUAUUUACUCAGUGAACUUUGAGUAAAGCAUUGGGUGCUUCAUUAUGUGGAGGAGUCUCAUCCAAUCAGUUGAAGGUGACUGAAUGGAACUAUAGAUCGACCUCACAUAAAUGAGAGGGAAUUCUGCAACAGAUCAUCUUUGCCUUUGAACUGCAGCAUGGACUCCCCUCUGGGUCUCCUGCCUGCCAGCCCACCCUGCAGAGUGCAUUUGCCAGCCUCCACAAUCAGGUAAUUUAUCCUGUGCAUUAACAAGAGGAAGUCUAGAGCCAUGGAAACCAAGUCAGGAAACUUCUCUCUUAUUAUUAGGUCCACUGCAAAUCUAGUUGAGACUGCAAAUCGAGUUUAGUCACCACCUCCGAGGAACUGUGUCCCGCAUUGGCAUUCCUUUGGCAGCUUCCACUUCUCUGUCCCCUUGAGCAAAGUUUUUCUCAGGGGAAGCCGAGCUCCAGACUAUUCAUUUGUCCUGAGGCAGCCACUUGAAACACAAUCAUUUUGUAUUUCUACGAUGUUUUGACCUUUUAUCCAAGUCAGCCCUAUAGAAUGGGCCAGGAGGUUGCUGCCACUGAAUAAGCCACUGUGAUUUUUAGCGUCAAGAAUUUUGCUGUUAACUAUGGCAGAAAAAUAGACAGAGGACAAUAAAAA